UGCGGGGUGGAGCAGUUCGGUAGCUCGUCGGGCUCAUAACCCGAAGGUCGCAGGUUCAAAUCCUGCCCCCGCUACCA
rnacentral:tRNA from 1 species